rnacentral:tRNA from 1 species
CCCCCAGCUUAGUUCAGCUGGAUAGAAUGUCUGCCUACGGAGCAGAUGGUCGUAGGUUCGAAUCCUGCCUAGGGUA